rnacentral:rRNA from 1 species
GACGAACGCUGGCGGCGUGCUUAACACAUGCAAGUCGAACGGAAAGGCCCUGCAUUUGUGGGGUGCUCGAGUGGCGAACGGGUGAGUAACACGUGAGUAACCUGCCCUUGACUUUGGGAUAACUUCAGGAAACUGGGGCUAAUACCGGAUAGGAGCUCCUGCUGCAUGGUGGGGGUUGGAAAGUUUCGGCGGUUGGGGAUGGACUCGCGGCUUAUCAGCUUGUUGGUGGGGUAGUGGCUUACCAAGGCUUUGACGGAUAGCCGGCCUGAGAGGGUGACCGGCCACAUUGGGACUGAGAUACGGCCCAGACUCCUACGGGAGGCAGCAGUGGGGAAUAUUGCACAAUGGGCGGAAGCCUGAUGCAGCAACGCCGCGUGCGGGAUGACGGCCUUCGGGUUGUAAACCGCUUUCGCCUGUGACGAAGCGUGAGUGACGGUAAUGGGUAAAGAAGCACCGGCUAACUACGUG